AACGCUGGCGGCGUGCUUAAUACAUGCAAGUCGAACGGAUGACGUCAGAAAGCUUGCUUUCUGAUUGAUUCAGUGGCGAACGGGUGAGUAAUACGUAGGCAACCUACCCCAGAGAGGGGGAUAGCAGUUGGAAACGACUAUUAAUACCGCAUAGGUAACAAGGAGGCAUCUCCUUGUUAUUAAAGAUGCGUUUGCAUCGCUAUGGGAUGGGCUUACGCUGUAUUAGCUUGUUGGUGAGGUAACGGCUCACCAAGGCUGUGAUACAUAGCCGGCCUGAGAGGGUGAACGGCCACAUUGGGACUGAGACACGGCCCAGACUCCUACGGGAGGCAGCAGUAAGGAAUUUUCGGCAAUGGACGAAAGUCUGACCGAGCAACGCCGCGUGAGUGAAGAAGGUCUUCGGAUCGUAAAGCUCUGUGGUAAAGGACGAACACUACAGUUAGGAAAUGAUCUGUAGCUGACGGUACUUUACUAGAAAGUCACGGCUUACUACGUGCC
rnacentral:rRNA from 1 species